GAUGAACGCUGGCGGCGUGCCUAAUACAUGCAAGUAGAACGCUGAAGGAGGAGCUUGCUCUUCUGGAUGAGUUGCGAACGGGUGAGUAACGCGUAGGUAACCUGCCUGGUAGCGGGGGAUAACUAUUGGAAACGAUAGCUAAUACCGCAUGACAACAGUUAUUGCAUGAUAACUGUUUAAAAGGGGCAACUGCUCCACUACCAGAUGGACCUGCGUUGUAUUAGCUAGUUGGUGAGGUAACGGCUCACCAAGGCGACGAUACAUAGCCGACCUGAGAGGGUGAUCGGCCACCCUGGGACUGAGACACGGCCCAGACUCCUACGGGAGGGAGCAGUAGGGAAUCUUCGGCAAUGGACGGAAGUCUGACCGAGCAACGCCGCGUGAGUGAAGAAGGUUUUCGGAUCGGAAAGCUCUGUUGUAAGAGAAGAAAGAGUGUGAGAGUGGAAAGUUCACACUGUGACGGUAUCUUACCAGAAAGGGACGGCUAACUACGUG
rnacentral:rRNA from 1 species